rnacentral:lncRNA from 12 species
AUGGUGAUCAUAUGUGCAGCUGGACUGGUAACUGUUCUUCAGUGCAGAAAGAGAGUCAAGAAAUCAAGAUGUGUUAUUGCAAGAUCUAUUUACAAUUCCCGUCACAACGAGGAGACUAAUGCUGUUUAUCAGAAUGCUCCCGAUGACAGACCCUACGCCACCAUAAAUAAAUCCAGUACCAAGUCUAAGGACGAGAGCCAGUCAGACCCAAUCUAUCAGAACAUACACUUCAACACUACGCAGGAAGAAACUAUCUAUGGCAAUCUAUAG